CUUUUCCCCAUUUGGGGAUGUUCCCCAUGGAGUCUUCUGCAAGACCCCCCCUUUGCCCCCACCUGCACCCCCACUUACCCUUGGUGGAGCUGUUGGACCCCUAGUCACUUGCUGCAAAAGGGAGGAAACACAGGAGUCAGGAUCCCAGGGAGGGAGAUCCCAUCCCCCCAGCCCUUCUCCUCCCUCCUCCCUCCUUCCACCCCCAUCCCAAAUCAGUCUCAAUCUGGGGAUGUUCAGGGACAGGCAGCCCAGAGGCAAGGGGGCUCAAGGACAGCACUGGAGGGAGAAGCUGGAGGGCAAAGAGAGAUGGGCACAGCCUGGCAUGGAGGCAGCGGGGGACUAGAGGGGGUGGGUGCGAUUUGGGCAGGAAGGGGGCAGAAAGCCGGGGGGGGGAGCAGUGGUGCCAAAUCCGGAGGGGAGGGUUCCUGACACCCACAGACUUGAGCCACCCAACUAAUUCUUUAGCUUCAGGUUCUAGUAGAUUAAACCACCAGAGAUCCCUCUCUCCCCACACCAUCGGCUCUUCCUCCUGCUCCUUCUUGGAGCCCCUCCCUCAGCCGACAGUCUCUCUGCAGCCUUUUCCUGGCCCUGAGGGACCCCUUGCUGUCCACAGACAGGCUGAGCAGACAGGCUGAAGCUUCCCAUCAGGGUCUUGGGCUUAAGG